rnacentral:tRNA from 1 species
ACCAAACAACUACACCUAGAAAGAGAGGACUCGAACCUCUAUAGAAGAAUCCAAAACUCUUCGUACUUCCAACUAUACUACACUCUA